rnacentral:rRNA from 1 species
UGUGAGCUCGAUGAGUAGGGCGGGACACGUGGUAUCCUGUCUGAAUAUGGGGGGACCAUCCUCCAAGGCUAAAUACUCCUGACUGACCGAUAGUGAACCAGUACCGUGAGGGAAAGGCGAAAAGAACCCCGGCGAGGGGAGUGAAAAAGAACCUGAAACCGUGUACGUACAAGCAGUGGGAGCACAGAGCAAUCUGUGUGACUGCGUACCUUUUGUAUAAUGGGUCAGCGACUUAUAUUCUGUAGCAAGGUUAACCGAAUAGGGGAGCCGAAGGGAAACCGAGUCUUAACUGGGCGUUAAGUUGCAGGGUAUAGACCCGAAACCCGGUGAUCUAGCCAUGGGCAGGUUGAAGGUUGGGUAACACUAACUGGAGGACCGAACCGACUAAUGUUGAAAAAUUAGCGGAUGACUUGUGGCUGGGGGUGAAAGGCCAAUCAAACCGGGAGAUAGCUGGUUCUCCCCGAAAGCUAUUUAGGUAGCGCCUCGUGAAUUCAUCUCCGGGGGUAGAGCACUGUUUCGGCAAGGGGGUCAUCCCGACUUACCAACCCGAUGCAAACUGCGAAUACCGGAGAAUGUUAUCACGGGAGACACACGGCGGGUGCUAACGUCCGUCGUGAAGAGGGAAACAACCCAGACCGCCAGCUAAGGUCCCAAAGUCAUGGUUAAGUGGGAAACGAUGUGGGAAGGCCCAGACAGCCAGGAUGUUGGCUUAGAAGCAGCCAUCAUUUAAAGAAAGCGUAAUAGCUCACUGGUCGAGUCGGCCUGCGCGGAAGAUGUAACGGGGCUAAACCAUGCACCGAAGCUGCGGCAGCGACGCUUAUGCGUUGUUGGGUAGGGGAGCGUUCUGUAAGCCUGCGAAGGUGUGCUGUGAGGCAUGCUGGAGGUAUCAGAAGUGCGAAUGCUGACAUAAGUAACGAUAAAGCGGGUGAAAAGCCCGCUCGCCGGAAGACCAAGGGUUCCUGUCCAACGUUAAUCGGGGCAGGGUGAGUCGACCCCUAAGGCGAGGCCGAAAGGCGUAGUCGAUGGGAAACAGGUUAAUAUUCCUGUACUUGGUGUUACUGCGAAGGGGGGACGGAGAAGGCUAUGUUGGCCGGGCGACGGUUGUCCCGGUUUAAGCGUGUAGGCUGGUUUUCCAGGCAAAUCCGGAAAAUCAAGGCUGAGGCGUGAUGACGAGGCACUACGGUGCUGAAGCAACAAAUGCCCUGCUUCCAGGAAAAGCCUCUAAGCAUCAGGUAACAUCAAAUCGUACCCCAAACCGACACAGGUGGUCAGGUAGAGAAUACCAAGGCGCUUGAGAGAACUCGGGUGAAGGAACUAGGCAAAAUGGUGCCGUAACUUCGGGAGAAGGCACGCUGAUAUGUAGGUGAAGUCCCUCGCGGAUGGAGCUGAAAUCAGUCGAAGAUACCAGCUGGCUGCAACUGUUUAUUAAAAACACAGCACUGUGCAAACACGAAAGUGGACGUAUACGGUGUGACGCCUGCCCGGUGCCGGAAGGUUAAUUGAUGGGGUUAGCGCAAGCGAAGCUCUUGAUCGAAGCCCCGGUAAACGGCGGCCGUAACUAUAACGGUCCUAAGGUAGCGAAAUUCCUUGUCGGGUAAGUUCCGACCUGCACGAAUGGCGUAAUGAUGGCCAGGCUGUCUCCACCCGAGACUCAGUGAAAUUGAACUCGCUGUGAAGAUGCAGUGUACCCGCGGCAAGACGGAAAGACCCCGUGAACCUUUACUAUAGCUUGACACUGAACAUUGAGCCUUGAUGUGUAGGAUAGGUGGGAGGCUUUGAAGUGUGGACGCCAGUCUGCAUGGAGCCGACCUUGAAAUACCACCCUUUAAUGUUUGAUGUUCUAACGUUGACCCGUGAUCCGGGUUGCGGACAGUGUCUGGUGGGUAGUUUGACUGGGGCGGUCUCCUCCUAAAGAGUAACGGAGGAGCACGAAGGUUGGCUAAUCCUGGUCGGACAUCAGGAGGUUAGUGCAAUGGCAUAAGCCAGCUUGACUGCGAGCGUGACGGCGCGAGCAGGUGCGAAAGCAGGUCAUAGUGAUCCGGUGGUUCUGAAUGGAAGGGCCAUCGCUCAACGGAUAAAAGGUACUCCGGGGAUAACAGGCUGAUACCGCCCAAGAGUUCAUAUCGACGGCGGUGUUUGGCACCUCGAUGUCGGCUCAUCACAUCCUGGGGCUGAAGUAGGUCCCAAGGGUAUGGCUGUUCGCCAUUUAAAGUGGUACGCGAGCUGGGUUUAGAACGUCGUGAGACAGUUCGGUCCCUAUCUGCCGUGGGCGCUGGAGAACUGAGGGGGGCUGCUCCUAGUACGAGAGGACCGGAGUGGACGCAUCACUGGUGUUCGGGUUGUCAUGCCAAUGGCACUGCCCGGUAGCUAAAUGCGGAAGAGAUAAGUGCUGAAAGCAUCUAAGCACGAAACUUGCCCCGAGAUGAGUUCUCCCUGACUCCUUGAGAGUCCUGAAGGAACGUUGAAGACGACGACGUUGAUAGGCCGGGUGUGUAAGCGCAGCGAUGCGUUGAGCUAACCGGUACUAAUGAACCGUGAGGCUUAACCUU